rnacentral:rRNA from 1 species
CCUACGGGAGGCAGCAGUAGGGAAUCUUUCACAAUGGGCGAAAGCCUGAUGGAGCAACGCCGCGUGCAGGAUGAAGGCCUUCGGGUUGUAAACUGCUUUUAUAAGCGAGAAAUAUGAUGGUAACUUAUGAAUAAGGAUCGGCUAACUCCGUGCCAGCAGCCGCGGUAAUACGGAGGGUGCGAGCGUUAAUCGGAAUUACUGGGCGUAAAGCGCUCGUAGGCGGUAUGUCAAGUCAAGGGUGAAAUCCCCGCGCUCAACGUGGGAACUGCCUUUGAAACUGGCAAACUGGAGUGUGUGAGAGGAUAGUGGAAUUCCAGGUGUAGGAGUGAAAUCCGUAGAUAUCUGGAGGAACAUCAGUGGCGAAGGCGACUAUCUGGCACAUAACUGACGCUGAGGAGCGAAAGCGUGGGUAGCAAACAGGAUUAGAUACCCCUGUAGUC